UAUAUAUAUUAAUCUAGGCAUUAUGGGGACCGCUGGAUUAAGGCGACAAAAAUUGGUCUCCUUAAUAUUUUCAGUCCAGAUUUGAUGUAUCAAAUGUCAAUAAAAAUGUCCAUUGACAGUAAGUUGAUAAGCUUGAAUGUUUAUUUACGAGAUCAUUUCAUUGUUUUAAAUCUUAUUAUCUUUUAAUAUUAAAAAAAAUAUUCUUAAACUUUUGUGUGUGUAUAUUUGUGUAUCCAUAAAAAUAGCUAUUAAGGCGACCAGGGAAAAAAUCAUAAUUUUGGUCAAAAAUAGCUAUAUACUAAGCAUUUUUUAUUUGUUUUACUUUAUUUAAAGCCUAUUGUAUAAUAUCCCGAAGUUUCAUUCCAUAAAAUACAGAAAUAAGGAAAUUCGAUAUUUCGUGUACCAUCAACAUCCAAAUUUUCAAGUAUACAGAAAUUUAACUUUCCGGAAUAUAACGGAAAUUUUCGGGUAUCUCCGUGGUACCAUCUCCGUGCAAUUAUGCAGUAUGGCGUUCAUCUCUUACGGAAAGAGAAUGGUAACUUGGUAAGUGUUUAAAAUACAUAUUCAACGUUUUUUCGUUUAUUUUUAUGACUUUUGUACAGUAGUAUAAAUCGUCCACCCUUUGGAUGAAAAGCAAAUGAUUUAUCCGGAUUUUGUUCAUCCGAAACUAAAUCACUAGUAUCAACAUCCGGUGUAAUUUUUGCUUGUAUUUUGGAGAAACUCGAUUGAUUUCUAACAAACUUGGUUUACCACUACAUCGUCGCUUAUUAUUAUUUGGUAUGUUCCAAUCUAAAAAGGGAUUUGCUCCCUUAACAUCUCAGAUUUUAAUAAAUAAAAGACGAAAUGAUACAAAUGCCUUACAUUUUGUUCGUCAAUGUCAUGUCAUUAGUCAUUCUCACCACCUUUAAAUAGCAGAACAGAACGAACACUAUCACCAAUUCGUAUUGUGGCUUUUUGCAUGUGUCUUAAAUUCUCAUAUUUGAUAAUAAAUGCAACAAUAAAAUAUUUCCCUUAUUCUGCCACAGUUAUGCACCAGUCAAUUGUAACCAUGGCCCCCAGGCAGGUCUUGUUUAUACCAGGGAUAGCAGGGGAAAUGGGCCAUGUUUUUACGUUCCAGGUGGACCGGCAGUGCUGAGUGAAUGCGUGGUUAUUGUUUUUGCGCUGAAAACAGGGAAUGGGCCUAACCUAGGAUGUCCCCAGGGGCAUUUGACGGGGAUCUGGUCAUUUCGUAACCUUACCAUUUCGUAACUGCUGAAUCUUGGUUAUUUCGUAACCAUUUUGUCAGUCAAUUCGUAACCGUCAAGAAAUCAAUUGCUCAUAUGGUAACCACCAUUUAACAAGGUGAUAAAUAGUACACUUAGCACCUCGUUAAGUGUAUUGUUCGAACCUGGAUGUAUAUGGCACAGCAACCAAGACACCAAUUGGAAGACAUUACUCAAAUUCUCACUAGUAACAAGCCAAUAAUUUAUGUUACUCAAUAGUUAUUAGAUAUAUAUAUAUCAUGCUAAAUUAGAAAUGAUUUGUCAUUACGUCAAAAUUCUUUCAGCAAUCGUAUAGUUUCAACUUGGAAUAAUUUGCCACAUGAAUUAGUGAACACCACAUCUCUACCAGACUGCAAGAUUCAUCUCUUCCAAAGGAUGUCGUACCUUUCCAGAUACACUGUGUUUUGUGUGGAUAAGAAAUGCAGAGUGGUACCACCAAUCACCUAAGCCACCAUUCCCCUAACAGACAAUAGGCUCAUGGGGACAGUUCCUGCAAUUUACAGAAAAGCUCUCAAUUGUAGCCCUACGAACAUCAGAUACUGCCAAUGGUGAAGCUUGGGUGCACCGGGCCGGUUUUCCAGCCGUGUGGAAUCAACAUCUCCAGCUGAACUGGGGCCGGGAAUUAUAUAAGACUCCUUAGCAGCAUGAGUGCCAGCCAGUCAUUGCUGUUCUUUUCAUUGCUGAGGAGGACAGUCCUGCCAACAUAACAGUUUGUUCAAUAACAGGAGACAAACAGAAACACAGAGGUGCUAUACAUUCUGAUUGAAAAACAAAUGCUUCUGCCAUCAUUUUGGCGUGGCUCAGAUCAAGAGGAGAAUUUUAAGAAAGGUGAUGAUUGGGCACACACAAGAAGACAUAGAUCACAGGUGUCUAGCCAUAUGAGUAGAUAGGAGUGUCACACUCUGCCAAACUUACUUCAUCAGACGAGCAGAAAGCUUCUCAAGAUCCCGCACUGCACACUAAGACAUAGUCUUUGACUACAACAAGGUGAUGAAAGUACAGAGAGGUCCAAUUGAAAUCAAUUCUGUGCUGCGUCAUUUCUUCAUUCUGGAAGUCGAUGGACGUGAUUUAUCAUGGCAUAAAGUGUGCAGUUUGCCGACUAUCAGCAGUCUUGUUCACCAGCUGUGCAACUUGAGCUGGUAGCUUUAUUGCUUGAAGCCACUGCACAAGAGGGGGGAAGGUGCAGGCUCAUCAAAAAGUCUCAAAAGUUGAAACUAGGAAAAGAAGUUUAUCAAGAGUGUGAAUCUAUUUUGAAAACAAUCGUUACAAUGAUUUGGUUUCCUUUGAAACUUGAUACAUACUAUGAAUUGAGAUGCUUAAAUAAAAAACCGCUAUUCAAAUAUCAGGAAACUGCCUUUUUCAUACUAAAGGGUAAAUGAUGUCGCCAUUUCCUGUAUGUAUUUAAAUAAGAUAUGUCUCCACAAUUAAUAUUUUUAGGGAAUUUUUCUCAACCUAAUGAAUGAGAUUAAAUUGUACAGCGUUAUAUGAGCUUAAUAUGUGUUUUCUCAUUCUUUAAAAUUGGUGAAAAAUUGUCAGAAGAUAAUUAGACCAGUAUCCAUUACUGCAAUCAUACAAUCAAAUAUACAGGGACAAGCCCACUGGGCAUAUAAUAUAAUUAAACCCUGUUUAGGGGCACGAGGCAAACAGAGUUACUUUCAAACGUUAAAGCUGCACUCUCACACUUUAGAUGUUUUGACAACCUUUUUCAUUUUAUGUCUUGGAUUGGAACCAUCCAAUUUUUGCGAAAAAUUAAAUCCCAGAUUUUUCUAUUUAAGUUAAAACAUUGAUGUUUUUCAUGCACUUUUCUUAAACCGUUAGUAACAUUAAUUUUCGAACGGAAAUAUGAAAUCUGCGAUCUGAUCUUUUGUCAGCAAUCUUUUAUCAUUGGUUUGCAGAUAAUUACGCAAAAACUUGCUCAUUCCAAGACAAAAAAAGUUGUGGAAACGGUAUAUCUGUGAGAGUGCAGCUCUAAAUGUUUAAUUGCUUGAUUUUACUACUGUAUUAGAAAUUACAGGGAUUGGGGUAUAUUUUUAGUGUUUUUAUUGCUUGUUUUUGAUUCAUACAGUCAUACUUUAUUCUUCAGGGCACAACUUACAAAUAGACAAAACUGGAAAAUGGUCAUAUCAAAAGGUCAAAGAUAAUGCAAGUUGAACAAUCAUAUUGUUCAUGGCUUGUAUUUUUGGUAUAUUUUGUUGCAUAUGCUAUAGAAAAGUUGAAAGUUAAAAAUAAAUUCAUAGUUGAAAUGAUGGCUUUGAAUGGUAUUGUCAGAUGAGAAACGGCACUAUUAAGAAAUAGGUAUAAUGGUACUUUAUUUAUUUUAAUCAAUUUUAGAUAUUAUGAAAAUUAUUAUCUUAUUUAGUACAUGAGACCUUUUAAACAGUUAUUGACAAUAUAACAAUGUGUAUAUGAAGCUUUAGAUCAACACUUAAAGCUGCACUCUUACAGAUUGUCAGUUUAGACACAAAAUUGUCUCAAAAUCGGCUGAUUUGGUUAUCAUUCCUUUAAUUCAGUCAUAUUAGAUAAUUCACGAUAGAACCAAUCAAAAAUGUUUGGUAAAACUGCCGAAAAGUUCAUUUACAUUAAAUUGUUCGUAAUGCUUUUAGUCAUUGUUCGUAAUGCUUUUAGUCAUAAAACAUCAUUUUUUUAAACAUAAAUAUGAUGAACUGCAAUCUAAUCUUUUUUCAGCAGUCUUAUAUCACUUAAAAUUGGGUCUAGACAUUUCUGCAAAAAAUACUCCAUUAAUAGACGAUCAAUAAAAGAGUACCGGUAGUCAAAACGAUCAAUCGGCGAGAUUGCAGCUUUAAAUACACCUUUUAAGACCGCUGUAAAAUUCCAAUGGUUUGCCUAAAUCUUUAAAGCUAGCAUACUGUUUAAUUGACAACCAUACUUAUUGUUUUAAAGUGUCAUGAUAUCUUUGUACAAUGUUUUUAUAUAAUUCAUUAAAGAAGUCAAAACAAAUUUGUUUAUCUUGUAAUUUGUUAUCUAUUAUUUAAAUGACUCAGACAAAAAUGGGAACGUCAGUGCUAGUUCUUUUACUAUUAACAUCCCAUGAAGUUUCUAUUGGUGUAGCAGCAAGGAGGUGUUACAUUAAGGAUGCAU